UAUACAUUGGUAUGUUUUUGAUGGAGGAAUUUUUGUUUUAUGUUUGUCAGCAUAAAUCACAGACUGAACCAUAAAAGGCAAUGUUACCAUUAUGAGACUUGUAAAUUAUUCUAUAAAUAUCGUUAUAGGCAACAGUCCAAAAUACAUUUUGAUGAUUUAACGUUUUGCCGUUCAAUGUCUCAUUAACUGUUACUUUCAAAAACUGGUGUGUUUGGAGUUUACCAUCAAAAUUACAGUGUUUGUGAACAAUGAAGUUAUUAUGCUUAAAAUGGAGAAACUUAUAAGUAGCAAGAGAUAUUUACACCAUCAUGUAUAUUAUUACUGUGGUUGUUAUCAUGUUGUAAGACGCACCAAAGUGUAAAAUGUAUGCGAAGGAGACGUGUUUGUUUCUUAAAAAAAUGAAGAAGGACUUGGUGUUGUGAGUACAUGAACGAAAUAUAUGAUUUAUAUUUCAGAGAGUUCCCGGAUGUAAAAAGGUGAAGAUAGCAACUGGUAUUUGAUACUUUUAUUCCACCACAAAAGAAAAAGGGCAACUACAGUAAUGGAUCCAAAAAGGCCUGUUAUUUGCUGAUGGUGAUAACAGGGGUUGGAAUGUCGCCGGGGAACGGAAUAAAUGGAAGAAUUGCUGAAGAAAAUUAGCAUUUUGAGACUUGCAAACUGUUCUAUAAAACAUUCACAAAACCACAUUCUAAAAAAAAAAUGCAUAUGAUUAUACGAAAGAAUGGUGAUCAGUGUCUUGUUCACUGCUCUUUGUAUUCUGGUUAGCUUUUGACUUUUGAAGGAAGAUUAUGAUGUUUCAAACAUUUGAUAAAAAAAAAAGAAAAGAGUAAAGCAGGUAAUUUGUUACAGGACAUAUUUAACAGCAUCCUGUAUAUCACUCGUAUGUAAUUUAUUAUGCUAAAAGACAGUUAAGCGCAAAAUGCAAGAUUGUGGCCUGGAAUGCAAAAGGAAAAAUUUGACAUACUUGUUUUUAUUAUUUAUAUUAUUCGACAGCAUUGAAGAAACUAGUGGUUAUGGUGGUGGUUGAAAUGACGACAGGCACUUUACCAUUAAUAGACUUUGAUUGAAUAGAUUACUGGUGAGCAGCUAUUUCCACCCUAGAAAUAAAAGCCAUUUCGAGCCUCUGUUUGAAUAACUUAAUGGUGAGCAGUCAUCACUUCCCAAGGAGCCCAUAUCCCAUGUGAACGACGAUCAAAAAGAUCGAGACAAUAUGAGAACGUCUGUUGGGGAUAUGGUCUUGGUCGCCUCUCCUGAAUUGAUGUGCAUUUUUCCAGACAUUCGACGAUUUAGAGUUUCCGGAUGUUAAAAGGUGAAAAUAGUAACGGGUAUUGAUACUUUCAUUCCACCACAAUAGGAGAAGGUCAACUAUAGUUACAGAUCCAGAAAGUCUCUUAUUUGCUGAUGGUGAUAGCAGUGGUUUGAAUGACGCCGAUCGACGGUCGAGACAAUAGGAGAACGUCUGUCGGGUAUAUGAUUUUGGUCGUCUCUCCUGAAUUGAUGUGAAUUUUUCUAGACAUGGGACAAUUUGGAUAAAAACGGAGUUCUUGGACAUACUUACCCUUGAUGCAUCUGCGAAAUCACGAAAGAAAUUGUCACAUAUCUAUCUCAAUUGAACGCAGACAUAUUCAAAAUUGCAAUUAACAACAAUACAGAUGAAGAUGGGUUGUGCAGCCUAUUUAAAUAUAUGCUUUUUUUGUAUUUUGGAUAAUUUGUUCAUUUAAAUAGAUAUCAUUUACACAUAUAGAUACUAAAGAUAUUUGUGAAACAAAGCAACGUGCACUGAAGUUGAUGUUGUCAUUUUUUUCUAUUCUGAUGAACGCCGUUUGAUUUGUUUUAAACUAAAUAAAUAUACAAAGUUGCA